rnacentral:sRNA from 1 species
GUGUUUCUUUUGCAAACCCCU